GGGGUUUAUAGUUCAAAAGGUAGAACAACUAUUUGUGGAAUAGUAUGCUCCAUGUUCAAGUCAUGGUUUACCCC
rnacentral:tRNA from 1 species